rnacentral:rRNA from 1 species
AGCGAACGCUGGCGGCAGGCCUAACACAUGCAAGUCGAACGAACCUUUCGGGGUUAGUGGCGGACGGGUGAGUAACACGUGGGAACGUGCCUUUAGGUUCGGAAUAACUCAGGGAAACUUGUGCUAAUACCGAAUGUGCCCUUCGGGGGAAAGAUUAAUCGCCUUUAGAGCGGCCCGCGUCUGAUUAGCUAGUUGGUUGAGGUAAUGGCUCACCAAGGCGACGAUCAGUAGCUGGUCUGAGAGGAUGAUCAGCCACAUUGGGACUGAGACACGGCCCAAAACCCCUCGGGAGGGAGCAGUGGGGAAUCUUGCGGAAUGGGCGAAAGGCUGACGCAGCCAUGGCGCGUGAAUUAUGAAGGUCUUAGGAUUGUAAAAUUCUUUCACCGGGGACGAUAAUGACGGUACCCGGAGAAGAAGCCCCGGCUAACUUCGUG